rnacentral:lncRNA from 1 species
CUGUUUAUUUAACGCAUGAAUGUAAAAAUAUCGGAAAUUGAUGAGACUGUCAUUACAAAAGUGAGAGGGUUAGCGCUAUAGAACCAGGUUCAAUCCACCAUUUUCUACAUUUGAAAAUGCCUGUACCAAGUCAGGAAUAUGACAGUUCUUGUCCAUUCGUUUUUGAUGCGUUUUGUUAUUUGAUUUUGCCAUGUGAUUAUGGACUUUCCCAAUUGAUCUUCCUCUAAGUUCAGUAUUUUUGUGAUUUUACUUUUUCCUUUGUCGAUG